UCUGGUUGACCCUGCCAGUAGCAUAUGCUUGUCUCUGAGACUAAGCCAUGCAUGUCUAAGUAUAAAUUAAUUUUUACGGUGAAACUGCGGACGGCUCAUUAAAUCAGUUAUAACCUACUUGAUCGUGUGACUUUAUUCGGAUAACCCUAGUAAUUCUAGAGCUAAUACGUGCUAAAAGCCUUAACUUCCAGCAAUGGGGGAAGAGGUGUAUUUAUUAGAAACUAAAACCAAUCAGCUUCGGCUGUUUGAGAUGAUUCAUAAUAACUCGGCAAAUUACGGGAAAAUUCCUGUGAUGAUUCAAACGGAUUUCUGACCUAUCAACUUUAGAUGGCAAAGUAGGGGUUUGCCAUGGUGACAACGGGUGACGGGGAAUUAGGGUUCGAUUCCGGAGAGGGAGCCUGAGAAACGGCUACCACUUCCGAGGAAGGCAGCAGGCGCGCAAAUUACCCAAUGCUAAUUCGGCGAGGUAGUGACAAGAAAUACCAAUGUAGGACCCAACGGGUACUACGUUUGGAAUGAGAACAAUUUAAAAACCUUAACGAGGAACAGUUGGAGGGCAAGUCUGGUGCCAGCAGCCGCGGUAAUUCCAGCUCCAAUAGUGUAUAUUAAAGUUGCUGCGGUUAAAAAGCUCGUAGUUGGAUUACGAAGUGGUGUUUAAAUGUCAUUUUGGUUUGUUUGUCUUUCGGGGCAUUCAGGUCAACUUGGCUUUUACUCACUGUUGUCAUUGUCUUUGCCCAAGGUAUAUGCCUUGUGUGCAUGGCAUUGACCUUCUAUUUUAUGGUAAUGUUGUAUCUUUCGGGGUACAUUCAUUCCAUAUAGUUUACUUUGAAAAAAUUAGGGUGUUUAAAGCAGGCGAAAAGGCUUCGGAAUAUAUUAGCAUGGGAUAAUAGAAUACGAUCUAGGUCGUAAUUUGUUGGUUUCUACGGCUUAGGUAAUGAUUGACAGGGAUAGUUGGGGUCGCUCGUAUUGAGUUGUCAGAGGUGAAAUUCUAGGAUUAACUCAAGACGAACUAAUGCGAAAGCAUUCGGCAAGGAUGUUUUCAUUAAUCAAGAACGAAAGUUGGGGGAUCGAAGAUGAUCAGAUACCGUCGUAGUCUCAACUGUAAACUAUGUCGACCGAGGAUCCGGUAGCGUUACAUGGAUGACCUUCCGGGCACUCUGUGAGAAAUCAUAAGUAUUUGGAUUUCGGGGGGAGUAUGGUCGCAAGGCUGAAACUUAAAGGGAUUGACGGAAGGGCACCACCAGGAGUGGAAUCUGCGGCUUAAUUUGACUCAACACGGGAAAACUUACCAGGUCCGGACACAGUGAGGAUUGACAGAUUGAGAGCUCUUUCUUGAUUUUGUGGGUGGUGGUGCAUGGCCGUUUUUAGUUGGUGGAGUGAUUUGUCUGGUUAAUUCCGUUAACGAACGAGACCUUAACCUAUUAAAUAGCUGCGCGAACCCAGGUUCUUUAACCAUUCUCUCCUUCGGGGGGGCGUGGUAUCACUA
rnacentral:rRNA from 1 species